rnacentral:rRNA from 1 species
GACGAACGCUGGCGGCGUGCCUAAUACAUGCAAGUCGAACGAGUGGCGGUCGGGUGAGUAAUGUAUGGGGAUCUGCCCGAUAGAGGGGGAUAACUACUGGAAACGGUGGCUAAUACCGCAUACUAUCGGAUGAACCCAUAUGGGAUGAGCUAGUAGGUGGGGUAAAGGCUCACCUAGGCGACGAUCCCUAGCUGGUCGGAGAGGAAGAUAAGCCAAACUGGGACUGAGAAACGGCACAGACUCAUGAGGGAGGCAGCAGUGGGGAAUAUUGCACAAUGGGCGAAAGCAUGAUGCAGCCAUGCAGCGUGUAUGAAGAAGGCCUUAGGGUUGUAAAGUAAUUUCAGCGGGGAGGCGUUACCCGGAGAAGAAGCACCGGCUAAAUCCGUGCCAGCCGCCGCGGUAAUAC